rnacentral:rRNA from 1 species
CCUACGGGGGGCAGCAGUGGGGAAUAUUGCACAAUGGGGGAAACCCUGAUGCAGCGACGCCGCGUGAGUGAAGAAGUAUUUCGGUAUGUAAAGCUCUAUCAGCAGGGAAGAAGAAAGAUGGUACCUGACUAAGAAGCCCCGGCUAACUACGUGCCAGCAGCCGCGGUAAUCCGUAGGGGGCAAGCGUUAUCCGGAUUUACUGGGUGUAAAGGGAGCGUAGACGGCUGUGCAAGUCUGAAGUGAAAGCCCAGGGUUCAACCCUGGGACUGCUUUGGAAACUGUGGAGCUAGAGUGCUGGAGAGGUAAGUGGAAUGCCUAGUGUAGCGGUGAAAUGCGUAGAUAUUAGGAGGAACACCAGUGGCGAAGGCGGCUUACUGGACAGUAACUGACGUUGAGGCUCGAAAGCGUGGGGAGCAAACAGGAUUAGAUACCCUUGUAGUC